UGAGGAAUAUUGGUCAAUGGGCGCGANCNNGANCCAGCCAAGUAGCGUGCAGGAUGACGGCCCUAUGGGUUGUAAACUGCUUUUGUAUGGGGAUAAAGUCANUCACGUGUGAUUGUUUGCAGGUACCAUACGAAUAAGGACCGGCUAAUUCCGUGCCAGCAGCCGCGGUAAUACGGAAGGUCCGGGCGUUAUCCGGAUUUAUUGGGUUUAAAGGGAGCGUAGGCCGGAGAUUAAGUGUGUUGUGAAAUGUAGACGCUCAACGUCUGACUUGCAGCGCAUACUGGUUUCCUUGAGUACGCACAACGUUGGCGGAAUUCGUCGUGUAGCGGUGAAAUGCUUAGAUAUGACGAAGAACUCCGAUUGCGAAGGCAGCUGACGGGAGCGCAACUGACGCUUAAGCUCGAAGGUGCGGGUAUCGAACAGGAUUAGAUACCCUGGUAGUCCGCACAGUAAACGAUGGAUGCCCGCUGUUGGUACCUGGUAUCAGCGGCUAAGCGAAAGCAUUAAGCAUCCCACCUGGGGAGUACGCCGGCAACGGUG
rnacentral:rRNA from 1 species